rnacentral:rRNA from 1 species
UAAAGGAAUUUGGCGGGGGAGCACCACAAGGGGUGAAGCCUGCGGUUCAAUUGGAGUCAACGCCAGAUAUCUUACCCGGAGAGACAGCAGAAUGAAGGUCAAGCUGAAGACUUUACCAGACAAGCUGAGAGGUGGUGCAUGGCCGUCGCCAGCUCGUGCCGUGAGAUGUCCUGUUAAGUCAGGUAACGAGCGAGAUCCUCGCCACUAGUUGCUAUCAUUAUUCUCAGGAAUAGUGGGGCGAAUUAGUGGGACUGCCGUUGUUAAAACGGAGGAAGGAGGGGGCUACGGCAGGUCAGUAUGCCCCGAAACUCUGGGGCCACACGCGGGCUGCAAUGGUAGCGACAAUGAGCUCCAAACUCGAAAGAGAGUGGCAAUCUCUAAACGCUACCACAGUUAUGACUGAGGGCUGUAACUCGCCCUCACGAAUAUGGAAUCCCUAGUAACCGCGUGUCAUUACCGCGCGGUGAAUACGUCCCUGCUCCUUGCACACACCGCCA